AAAUAUAUUAUAGUAUAGCUAAGAAGUAUAGUAUCUCCCUUACACCGAGAAGUCAU
rnacentral:tRNA from 1 species